rnacentral:rRNA from 1 species
GACAGAGGGUGCAAACGUUGUUCGGAAUUACUGGGCGUCAAGCGCGUGUAGGCGGCUAAGUAAGUCGGGCGUGAAAUCCCACGGCUCAACCGUGGAAGUGCACUCGAAACUGCAUAGCUAGAGUCCUGGAGAGGAAGGUGGAAUGCUUGGUGUAGAGGUGAAAUUCGUAGAUAUCAAGCGGAACACCGGUGGCGAAGGCGGCCUUCUGGACAGUGACUGACGCUGAGACGCGAAAGCGUGGGGAGCAAACAGG